GACGAACGCUGGCGGCGUGCUUAACACAUGCAAGUCGAACGGAAAGGCCCUGCUUUUGUGGGGUGCUCGAGUGGCGAACGGGUGAGUAACACGUGAGUAACCUGCCCUUGACUUUGGGAUAACUUCAGGAAACUGGGGCUAUACCGGAUAGGAGCUCCUGCUGCAUGGUGGGGGUUGGAAAGUUUCGGCGGUUGGGGAUGGACUCGCGGCUUAUCAGCUUGUUGGUGGGGUAGUGGCUUACCAAGGCUUUGACGGGUAGCCGGCCUGAGAGGGUGACCGGCCACAUUGGGACUGAGAUACGGCCCAGACUCCUACGGGAGGCAGCAGUGGGGAAUAUUGCACAAUGGGCGGAAGCCUGAUGCAGCAACGCCGCGUGCGGGAGGACGGCCUUCGGGUGGUAAACCGCUUUCGCCUGUGACGAAGCGUGAGUGACGGUAAUGGGUAAAGAAGCACCGGCUACUACGUG
rnacentral:rRNA from 1 species